GUUAGAUGUCGCUGUAGAUUUAGCAGUACAUUACUGUAAAAAUCCACAGUACUAUACUGUAUGUGUACAUUACAGUACAGUACUGCAGUUCAUAAUGCAUUCUGGGUAAAUUUGUUUGAGCGGGAAAAUUUUACAGUAUAUUUUGGUCUUGAUGUAACCUUGCUGUAGCCAUUGCUGUAAUGUGCCAGGUGUACUUGCAAUAAUCAGAGAAAGUGCGCCAACGUCAAAUCACACAGAGGGAGAGAGAGCACAACUCCUGGCUGCAGCUGAAGGAGGACGAUUGAUUUCUGGCAGUUCGUCUUACCAUUGCUUGUAAGCUGGAUUGGGUAAGAUGGAUCAUCUUUAAAGGCACCAGGAGUUAAGGCAGAUGUGGAGGCACAACGGGUGAUACCAGACACACACCAAGCACAUUAUGUUUGGACAUUCAAUCAUGACAUGAUCCAGGUGGAUGCUGUCCAUUGAGGAAAGAGUUUGUUCAGCGGUUUCUGGAUAGAAUUAAUUCCAAAGAUGGGAAAAAGUGCACAUCCAGACAAGGAGCAAGCAAAAAGACAAGGAACUUGGUGCAGAGAAAAGCUGUGGCCAUUAACCCCUGUGAACAGCUUCAUGCAGUCGCUGAUUGAGUUCGAAUGGACGACUUCAGUAAAGGCCACUGUGGUCUGUCUGCCACAGUUUAAUUUUUAAUUUAUUUUUAGUGUUCAAUGAAAUUCAAGUAGAAUAUUUAAAACUAUGGGCCAGUGUUGUUUUUACCACGGUGAAAUGUUACCUUUUAGUCGAUGAUGGACUUUAAACUGAAAACUUCAAACUAUGGAACAGUGUUCUAUUUGCCAGAGUUAAAUAUGUUACAGCAGGGGUCUCCAAACUUGUUUAUACUUGUUGAUUUUAUUUUAUGUUACUUGAUUAUAUGUUUAUUAUUGUUUAAAAUCUUGUUUUAAAUAUGUUUGUUUCAAUUAAAUGUUUUUUUUAAUAAAAUUUUGAUACAAACAUUGCUUGGAUUGCCUUUUAAUUCAUUAUGUUUUAAUUUAGCAUUUUUACCAUAUUAAUAACUAUAGAUUUAAACCUAAAUCUCUAGCUAUUUUAUAUAAUAUUAUUGUAUUAACUGUAAUAAGUAAUAAAUAGUAUUUAUGGGUCAAUAUAGACAUUACAGUAAAUUACUGUAAAAAUAGACUACUGUAAUAAAAUAUUGUAAAAUUACAGUACAGUACUGCUUUGUAACUAUACAGUACUAGUUUGUGUACUGUAAAAUGGUAUUACAGUACAGUACUGUAAAACCAAAAUACAGUAACUUACUGGCAACCGUGCUGCC